rnacentral:rRNA from 1 species
UACGAAGGGUGCAAACGUUGCUCGGAAUUAUUGGGCGUAAAGCGCACGUAGGCGGCUUGGCAAGUCGGAUGUGAAAUCCCUCGGCUCAACCAAGGAAGUGCAUCCGAAACUGCUGAGCUUGAGUACGAAAGAGGAUCGCGGAAUUCCCGGUGUAGAGGUGAAAUUCGUAGAUAUCGGGAGGAACACCAGUGGCGAAGGCGGCGACCUGGGCCAAUACUGACGCUGAGGUGCGAAAGCGUGGAGAGCAAACAGG